CUUUUGUUCCGAUCACUGGAGAAUGGGUUUGGUACUUUGAGCUGUGUUUCUACAUAAAAAAGAAGGAAUCAAAGUGAUGCUGGUGUGACAAUAUAACAUUUGAAGCUGCUCCAAACAACUUUGACUGUAAGAAAAAGGCCAAAAGAAUACAAGAGGCUCUGACCAAGGACUCUGACUUCACUAAGCCACUGAAACACUCCUGGGACUACCUACCUCCUGCCUUUUCAUUAUGGGAGGAAAUCCUAUUGGUUAGGUCACUGUCUAGUUUUAUAAGGAGGAAUGUUUCCACCAGGAGAUACAAUGAUGCUAUUGAAACGGAAGUGAAGACUGCCAUUCAUCUACUUUGGACCCUUUAUGUCAAUGAAUCAUGCAGCAAUGAAGGGAGCUACAGUGUUGGCUGGGAUAAUUGGUGUUUAAUACCAAGGGAAAAUGGUCUAUUACUACACAAUGGAGAAAAAUGGAAAAUAAAACUCCAUUGAAAUGCCACUACACAUCUAAUAGAAUAAAGAAAAAGAAAGAA